rnacentral:rRNA from 1 species
AUUGAACGCUGGCGGCAUGCUUUACACAUGCAAGUCGAACGGUAACAGGCCGCAAGGUGCUGACGAGUGGCGAACGGGUGAGUAAUACAUCGGAACGUACCCAGUAAUGGGGGAUAACUAUCCGAAAGGAUAGCUAAUACCGCAUACGCCCUACGGGGGAAAGAGGGGGAUCGCAAGACCUCUUGUUAUUGGAGCGGCCGAUGGCUGAUUAGCUAGUUGGUAAGGUAAAGGCCUACCAAGGCAACGAUCAGUAGCGGGUCUUAGAGGACGAUCCGCCACACUGGAACUGAGACACGGUCCAGACUCCUACGGGAGGCAGCAGUGGGGAAUCUUGCACAAUGGGCGCAAGCCUGAUCCAGCAAUGCCGCGUGCGUGAAGAAGGCCUUCGGGUUGUAAAGCGCUUUUGUCAGGGAGCAAAUCCUUGUGGCUAAUACCCACCGGGGAUGAGAGUACCUGAAGAAUAAGGACCGGCUAACUACGUGCCAGCCGCCGCGGUAACAC